GGGAAGAAAUACGAUCCUUCUGGAUACCUCCCUGAUGUUCCUGACCAUGGGAAGAAAUAUGAUCCUUCUGGAUACCUCCCUGAU